AACGCGAAGAACCUUACCAAGGCUUGACAUGGACCGGACGGCUGCAGAAAUGUGGCUUUCUUCGGACUGGUUCACAGGUGGUGCAUGGUUGUCGUCAGCUCGUGUCGUGAGAUGUUGGGUUAAGUCCCGCAACGAGCGCAACCCUCGUUCCAUGUUGCCAGCGCGUAAUGGCGGGGACUCAUGGGAGACUGCCGGGGUCAACUCGGAGGAAGGUGGGGACGACGUCAAAUCAUCAUGCCCCUUAUGUCUUGGGCUUCAAGCAUGCUACAAUGGUCGGUACAAUGGGUUGCGAAACUGUGAGGUGGAGCGAAUCCCAAAAAGCCGGCCUCAGUUCGGAUUGGGGUCUGCAACUCGACCCCAUGAAGUCGGAGUCGCUAGUAAUCGCAGAUCAGCAACGCUGCGGUGAAUACGUUCCCGGGCCUUGUACACACCG
rnacentral:rRNA from 1 species